GAAGGCCUGCGGCUCAGUGGUGGAGCAUCUGCUUGGCACACUGAAGGUCCCAAAUUUAAUCCCUGGGAUGUGAAAGGCCUUCA
rnacentral:tRNA from 1 species